UACGUAGGGGGCAAGCGUUGUCCGGAUUCAUUGGGCGUAAAGGGUGCGUAGGCGGCGGGGUAAGUCUGAUGUGAAAUCCCGGGGCUCAACCCCGGAACUGCAUUGGAUACUGCCCUGCUUGAGUACUGGAGAGGAGACUGGAAUUUACGGUGUAGCAGUGAAAUGCGUAGAGAUCGUAAGGAAGACCAGUGGCGAAGGCGAGUCUCUGGACAGUUACUGACGCUGAGGCACGAAGGCCAGGGGAGCAAACGGG
rnacentral:rRNA from 1 species